GACGAACGCUGGCGGCGUGCCUAAUACAUGCAAGUUGAGCGAUGAAGAUUGGUGCUUGCCCCAAUUUGAAGAGCAGCGAACGGGUGAGUAACGCGUGGGGAAUCUGCCUUUGAGCGGGGGACAACAUUUGGAAACGAAUGCUAAUACCGCAUAAUAACUUUAAACAUAAGUUUUAAGUUUGAAAGAUGCAAUUGCAUCACUCAAAGAUGAUCCCGCGUUGUAUUAGCUAGUUGGUGAGGUAAAGGCUCACCAAGGCGAUGAUACAUAGCCGACCUGAGGGGGUGAUCGGCCACAUUGGGACUGAGACACGGCCCAAACUCCUACGGGAGGCAGCAGUAGGGAAUCUUCGGCAAUGGACGAAAGUCUGACCGAGCAACGCCGCGUGAGUGAAGAAGGUUUUCGGAUCGGAAAACUCUGUUGGUAGAGAAGAACGUUGGUGAGAGUGGAAAGCUCAUCAAGUGACGGUAACUACCCAGAAAGGGACGGCUAACUACGUG
rnacentral:rRNA from 1 species